AUACGGAGGAUCCGAGCGUUAUCCGGAUUUAUUGGGUUUAAAGGGAGCGUAGGCGGGAGAUCAAGUCAGCUGUGAAAUGUAGAUGCUCAACAUCUGCACUGCAGUUGAAACUGGUUUUCUUGAGUGCGUAAGGGGCAGGCGGAAUUCGUCGUGUAGCGGUGAAAUGCUUAGUAAUGACGAAGAACUCCGAUCGCGAGGGCAGUCUGCCGGGCCGCGACUGACGCUGAAGCUCGAAGGUGCGGGUAUCGAACAGGAUUAGAUACCCUGGUAGUCCGCACAGUAAACGAUGGAUACUCGCUGUCGGCGAUAUACGGUCGGUGGCCAAGCGAAAGCGUUAAGUAUCCCACCUGGGGAGUACGCCGGCAACGGUGAAACUCAAAUGAAUUGACGGGG
rnacentral:rRNA from 1 species